rnacentral:rRNA from 1 species
AUUGAACGCUGGCGGCAUGCUUUACACAUGCAAGUCGAACGGUAACAGGCCGCAAGGUGCUGACGAGUGGCGAACGGGUGAGUAAUGCAUCGGAACGUGCCCAGUCGUGGGGGAUAACGCAGCGAAAGCUGCGCUAAUACCGCAUACGAUCUCUGGAUGAAAGCGGGGGACCGAAAGGCCUCGCGCGAUUGGAGCGGCCGAUGUCAGAUUAGGUAGUUGGUGGGGUAAAGGCCCACCAAGCCAACGAUCUGUAGCUGGUCUGAGAGGACGACCAGCCACACUGGGACUGAGACACGGCCCAGACUCCUACGGGAGGCAGCAGUGGGGAAUUUUGGACAAUGGGCGCAAGCCUGAUCCAGCAAUGCCGCGUGCAGGAAGAAGGCCAUCGGGUUGUAAACUGCUUUUGUACGGAACGAAACGGUCCGGGUUAAUACCCUGGGCUAAUGACGGUACCGUAAGAAUAAGCACCGGCUAACUACGUGCCAGCCGCCGCGGUAAGAC